AAAUAGAAGAUAUCGAGAGGAAAGAGCAAAAAGUUUUGCUUUUUUAUUCUGAGAAAGUAAUGCAUAUUUCUGCUCAUGAAUCAGAAUUUCCAAGUAAUCCAGACAGUGAGCCUCCACUGAGAACAAAGAAGAUCUUCAAAGCCACCAGUCAGCCAAAGAGGUCAUAAGUGAGAACCUCUCAGUGAGAUGCCAGGACUUCUGGAGAGAACUCCUACUAGAAUUCCUCAGAAUCAGCACAGCAAUGUUUUGCCCAGGCCCCCUUCCCUGCCCUGGUAAGACUGGAGUUGCUUCACCCUGGCCAUUAAAUUGGAAAUAAAAUGUCUUUGCGUAGAUGAUACCUGUUAGCCUGAUGGAAGAACUUCUUGUAUUAUGUUUUUUUUUUCUAAUUUAGUUAGAAAAGUACCUUAAUCAGAAUUCAAAGAUGCAUAAGCGUACUGUCUUUAAAAUUGUCACAUUGGUAAGUUAUGUAGAUUUUUAAAAACAUUACUGCCAUUUAUCAAGGCACUUGGAGAGUAUGUCCUUUAGAAUUAUAUUCCAAGUCCUUUCAAAGCUACAUUCAUUCCUUAGCCUAUUCUCAAAACAAAUUGGAGAGGAUAGGCUUACAGCAUAACCUCCUAGAAUAGGCAAAGACACCUACAAAUACUUAUUAAGCUACCUCUUGUCUUUCCAAACUUGCUUACAGUCAGAAAGUCUAACCUAUUUAGAAAGUAAGUCCAUUCAGUUUUAUGUGUGAGAAUGGUAACAGUCUAAUCACUUCCAUUCUUUGGAUACUAAUGACUUUGGGAUAUUUCCAAAACCAGAUGUACUUUCAAAAAAUGGCUAUUUGAAAUUACUUAGUAAUGCCUAGUGAAUUAGCUUUUUCUACUUAAAGGUAGACUUCAGCUCUUCAACAAUACCUACAAAAUCACAUAGGUCUUCUUGGUAUAUGCAAAUUUUUUUGUUCCUUCUUUGUAACUGUACGUAAAGAUGGAUUCUCAAUAUUAAUGGGGAUAUUCACAUCUCUGAAUUACUGGAACCAAUAUUUUUCUAAUUGAUAUAAAGCUAGAUAUUUUCAAAUUUUAUUAGAUGUUAUUGUCAGGUG
rnacentral:lncRNA from 1 species